rnacentral:rRNA from 1 species
AGCCAUGCCGCGUGAAGGAUGAAGGCCUUCGGGUUGUAAAAUUCUUUUGCCGGGAC